AUUGAACGCUGGCGGCAUGCCUUACACAUGCAAGUCGAACGGCAGCACGGGAGCUUGCUCCUGGUGGCGAGUGGCGAACGGGUGAGUAAUACAUCGGAACGUACCCUGAAGUGGGGGAUAACGUAGCGAAAGUUACGCUAAUACCGCAUAUUCUGUGAGCAGGAAAGAGGGGGAUCGCAAGACCUCUUGCUUUAGGAGCGGCCGAUGUCGGAUUAGCUAGUUGGUGAGGUAAAGGCUCACCAAGGCGACGAUCCGUAGCGGGUCUGAGAGGAUGAUCCGCCACACUGGGACUGAGACACGGUCCAGACUCCUACGGGAGGCAGCAGUGGGGAAUUUUGGACAAUGGGCGCAAGCCUGAUCCAGCCAUGCCGCGUGAGUGAAGACGGCCUGCGGGUUGUAAAGCCCUUUAGGCGGGGAAGAACGGCCGGGCGCAAAUAGCGCGCGGCUCUGACGUUACCCGCAGAAUAAGCACCGGCUAACUCCGUGCCAGCAGCCGCGGUAA
rnacentral:rRNA from 1 species